CCUGGUGCGUGAGCGACGGCUCAGUACUAGCCAGGAGCCGCGGGUUGUUCGGAGUUGCUGGGCGUAACGGGAAUUAAUGGGGUUAAAGGGGUCGGAGGCGGAAUCGUAAGUCUGAACUGGAAUACUGCCCCUUAAACUUAAAGGCUCCAUUGAUACUGAAGGGCUUGAAUUUCGAUGAGGUAAGGUG
rnacentral:rRNA from 1 species